UCUUCUAAUUUAAAAGCAUUGUCCCUUGUUCUAUCACUACCAGACUGUGCACAACGUUGAUUUGCCUCCACUUAUUAGUUCCCUUCAAGUACUAGAAAGCUGUUAUCAGAUCUCUCCUGAGCCUUUUCUUAUCCAGGAGAAGUAGUUCAUUUUCUUGCUGGCACUACAAUGCUGCUCCAAAACUUCUGAUUUAUUAGGAAACUACUGACUUCAAGCUUGUACCUUGUUCAUAAGUACUGAAGACCCAUUUAGAGUAAAAGACAAAACGAGAAACAAGGAAAUGUAGUUCUUGUGAUGUUGGAAUGUCAACAGUCUCCUACUUCAAAUGCAGAAAAACAAAUCCCUUCCUGGUACUAGAUGUAAUUUUUGCAUUUUGAAACAAAUAUUUAUACAUUAUUUAGAAAAGUCAGUACUGAACUUGUAAUGCAUACUCAACUGCAAUUUUAACUGAUUCCUGCAGAAGUAGGAAGUAGAGAAAUUUCCCAGGGCAAAUGAAAACAUUUGCACUUCAGGCACAAACAAAUCAACUUUCACACACAAGAAAAGAUGGGAUUACUGAUAUAUUUCUGUAACAAACUUAUAAUCUCUGCCUAAUGCUUUUUACUCAGUCUGGAAGGACUCAAAAAGAAGCAGGAAGCACAUACCAUAUAUAUAAGAUUAGCUAAAAUGCACUGGACUUCGUCAAUGUCAACAUCAUCUACUUGCAUGAAUUUCAGAGCAAAAAGAAAGGCAUCUAGAGAUAACUGAUGUGUUUUGAGUAGUAAAUAUCUGCAAGAAACAACAGAAAAUCUGUUACUGAGAAACAAUCACUUAGAACUCUGGUUCAUAGUAAAACAGACAUUCUACUACAGAUUCACUUUAACAGGAAUUCUGCAUUCCUUGAGAGAGUUGAAGAGCAUUACAUCUCUAUCUCAGUCCUAGGUGAAACCACAUUAAGUCUGCUUUUAGAAAAAUGUAGCUUUUGUUAUGCUUACACUUUCUUAAAGAGAUUUCUGUAUGUGAUGAUUUUCAGCUUCUCGAGGAUAAGAAAGAUUCCACAUCGAAUGAAGAAGGUCUCAUGCUUGGUCAGAGCUUCAUUCAGUAGGAGAAGAUUGCCUUCACUAGAAGGAUGGAAGAAAUGAACACAUGAGAAGGUCUCAUCAAGAAAAGGAAGUGUAUGACUUGUUUUAUGAUCUAUUUGCGAGCAGAAGAACUGUGGGAAUCCCAGGCAUUACUAACAACACAAGAAGUGCUUCAACACUGCCACGUGUUAGCUCAGUCUCCCAGCUUAUUUCUUCACUGUGCCUCCGUAUGGCCAUUAAAAUGUCAAGAGAAAGAGAAGAAAGUUGAAUGAAACGGAUUUAAUUCUCAUCGUUCGAUCAGGGACUGAAAAGGGAGCACAGGGAGUAAGCGAGAAUGGUCAGGAUUCAUUUUGCUGGGAUAAACGUGGAAGACGGGAACUCUCAGAACUGGAUGAUAAGAACAUUCUCUGUGAGAAAUUUGGUAAAAGGGAGUGGCAAACACUCUAGAAUCUAGUCCUUGGCUCCUUAGUUACACUGAAUUAAUAGCUUGUACAACCCCACUCAAGGAAGACAAAUGCCAGCACAGAACACAGAAAGGACAGGAACAAGAAGCAGACAUAAUUCCUUCAGCAACAAGAUGAAGAGAACAAAUGGAAACCAGCUGACAUGCCUUAAACUGAUAAAUAAUGCACAAGGUGCGAUUAUAAAAACAAAGACCACUUUCCUGUGGUAAACCCACCAUAGCAGUCUCCAACCAUUUAUUUGCACAUGCUCCUUCCCUUUGCCAGGUGAAAGCAGCACAGAUUUGUACCAGUGAAUCCAGACAUACCCUGGAUGCCAGUGCACAGUUGUCACCAUGAAGGCACUCUGGUACAUGCCAAGUUAACUUUGAGCUCUCUAGAGAAGCACUUAUUUUUCUUAUAGCAGUAACCUCAAGUUCCACCUUUCAGAGGGGCAGAAUAAGGCAGGGGGGACAAAAAGCAGCUUUACUUCCUUCUUUCCUACUUUGCUGUAAAUUACAAUUCAACAUUUUCUGUCCUUAUUUGUACAACAUCUGCAUGUUCUGGUGCAUACGGAGGUCAGGCACAAAUAACCUCUGCAUGCCAGUAAGGGAAAAGAAAGAAAAUUAAGAACCAUGCUGAGUUUCAGUUUGCUUAUUUGCCUCCUGAAAAACAAUUUGCAGGAAUAACAUCUACUCACCAACAACAUUUUUACUGGCAGCAGGUAGAUCAAAAUCAUUCUUUUAUUUUUCUGGCUUGAACGGUGACAGUGCUCAAAUGCAAAUGACAGAUACUCUUCAGCUGCAGACACAAAUAAAAGCAAUGAUAGUAAAUAGUCAAGAACUAAGACUGAUCAAAACCAUAACCCAAUUCUGUGCUCAAUGUCCAUUUCUAGCUUGAAUCUAUGAUAUUUGAAAUGAUAUCCAAAAAAAACCCACACCAAUCAAAAUACAUUAAGA